GGUUGUGGCUCAGUGGUAGAGUGCUCGCCUAGCAUGUGUGAGGCCCUGAGUUUGAUCCUCAGCACCA
rnacentral:tRNA from 1 species